CCCGGCCAAGCCCCGGGCCAAGCCCCAGGAGCCCCAGGCAAAGCCCCAGUCAAAGCCCCAGGAGCCCCAGGCAAAGCCCCAGGAGCCUCAGGCAAAGCCCCAGGCCGAACACCAGGCAAAGCCCCGGGCAAAGCCCCGGGCAAAGCCCCGGGCAAAGCCCCAGGAGCCCCAGGCAGAGCCCCGGGCAGAGCCCCGGGCAAAGCCCCGGGCAAAGCCCCGGGCAAAGCCCCGGGCAAAGCCCCGGGCAAAGCCCCAGGAGCCCCAGGCAGAGCCUCAGGCAGAGCACCAGGCAAAGCACCAGGCAAAGCCCCAGGCAAAGCCCCAGGAGCCCCAGGCAAAGCCCCAGGAGCCCCAGGCAAAGCCCCAGGCCAAGCCCCAGGCCAAGCCCCAGGCCAAGCCCCAGGAGCCCCAGGCCAAGCCCCAGGAGCCCCAGGCCAAGCCCCAGGCAAAGCUCCAGGCAAAGCCCCAGGCAAGCCUCUUGGUGGUAAGGGCCAUGCGCCUGGGACAGCCAGUUCAGGUCUAGGCCAAGAGGAUGGAAUGAAACCAGGCCUCCCUCUAGGCCCAAAUGAAGGGCCAGGGACAGUCUCAGUCAUGGAGACCCGAGUCUGCUGUAGCCCCAGGGGGCCACGAAACUCAUCGGCCUGAGCGAAUUCCUGUCUCUCAAGGGGUCCUGUGGUUCCAACAGGCAUGAAGGUCUUCGUGGGGUGUGCGAUAUGGUCUUCAUCCUCAAACUGCCCCAGUUCCUCCUUA
rnacentral:lncRNA from 1 species